rnacentral:rRNA from 1 species
UCGAACGAUUAAAGCUCUCUUCGGAGAGUGCAUAGAGUGGCGCACGGGUGAGUAACACGUAAGUAAUCUACCUUCGAGUGGGGAAUAACGUCCGGAAACGGACGCUAAUACCGCAUAAUGCAGCGGCAUCGCAAGAUGACAGUUGUUAAAGGAGCAAUUCGCUUGAAGAGGAGCUUGCGGCAGAUUAGCUAGUUGGUAAGGUAACGGCUUACCAAGGCUACGAUCUGUAUCCGGUCUAAGAGGACGGUCGGACACACUGACACUGAAUAACGGGUCAGACUCCUACGGGAGGCAGCAGUCGGGAAUUUUGGGCAAUGGGCGAAAGCCUGACCCAGCAACGCCGCGUGAAGGAUGAAGUAUUUCGGUAUGUAAACUUCGAAAGAAUAGGAAGAAUAAAUGACGGUACUAUUUAUAAGGUCCGGCUAACUACGUGCCAGCAGCCGCGGUAAUACGUAGGGACCAAGCGUUGUUCGGAUUUACUGGGCGUAAAGGGCGCGUAGGCGGCCCCGCAAGUCACUUGUGAAAUCUCUGGGCUUAACCCAGAACGGCCAAGUGAAACUGCAGGGCUAGAGUGUAGAAGGGGCAAUCGGAAUUCUUGGUGUAGCGGUGAAAUGCGUAGAUAUCAAGAGGAACACCUGAGGUGAAGACGGGUUGCUGGUCUAACACUGACGCUGAGGCGCGAAAGCCAGGGGAGCAAACGGGAUUAGAUACCCCGGUAGUCCUGGCCCCUAACGAUGAAUACUUGGGUGUCUGGAGUUUUAAAACUCUGGGUGCCGU